GAUGAACGCUGGCGGCGUGCCUAAUACAUGCAAGUCGAGCGAACGGACGAGAAGCUUGCUUCUCUGAUGUUAGCGGCGGACGGGUGAGUAACACGUGGAUAACCUACCUAUAAGACUGGGAUAACUUCGGGAAACCGGAGCUAAUACCGUAUGAUAUUUUGAACCGCAUGGUUCAAAGGUGAAAGACGGUCUUGCUGUCACUUAUAGAUGGAUCCGCGCUGCAUUAGCUAGUUGGUAAGGUAACGGCUUACCAAGGCAACGAUGCAUAGCCGACCUGAGAGGGUGAUCGGCCACACUGGAACUGAGACACGGUCCAGACUCCUACGGGAGGCAGCAGUAGGGAAUCUUCCACAAUGGGCGAAAGCCUGACGGAGCAACGCCGCGUGAGUGAUGAAGGUCUUCGGAUCGUAAAACUCUGUUAUUAGGGAAGAACAUAUGUGUAAGUAACUGUGCACAUCUUGACGGUACCUAAUCAGAAAGCCACGGCUAACUACGUG
rnacentral:rRNA from 1 species